GUCGUCAGCUCGUGUCGUGAGAUGUUGGGUUAAGUCCCGCAACGAGCGCAACCCCUAUUGUUAGUUGCCAUCGAUUCAGUUGGGCACUCUAAGGUGACUGCCGGCUAAAAGUCGGAGGAAGGUGGGGAUGACGUCAAAUCAUCACUGCCCCUUAUGACCUGGGCUACACACGUGCUACAAUGGGCGGUACAAAGGGUCGCGAACCCGCGAGGGGGAGCCAAUCCCAAAAAGACCGCUCUCAGUUCGGAUUGCAGGCUGCAACUCGCCUGCAUGAAGCCGGAAUCGCUAGUAAUCGCGGAUCAGCAUGCCGCGGUGAAUACCGUUCCCGGGCCUU
rnacentral:rRNA from 1 species